rnacentral:lncRNA from 1 species
UUAGGGUAUGAAACAGACAGACAGCGGGUUAGGGUAUGAAACAGACAGACAGCGGGUUAGGGUAUGAAACAGACAGACAGUGGGUUAGGGUAGGAAACAGACAGACAGUGGUUUAGGGUAUGAAACAGACAGACAGUGGGUUAGGGUAUGAAACAGACAGACAGUGAGUUAGGGUAGGAACGACAGACAGUGGGUUAGGGUAGGAAACAGACAGUGGGUUAGGGUAGGAAACAGACAGUGGGUUAGGGUAUAAAACAGACAGUGGGUUAGGGUAUGAAACAGACAGUGGGUUAGGGUAUGAAAGAGACAGACAGUGGGUUAGGGUAUGAAACAGACAGACAUUGAGUUAGGGUAUGACACAGACAGACAGUGGGUUAGGGUAGGAAACAGACAGUGGGUUAGGGUAUGAAACAGACAGACAGUGGGUCAGGGUGGGAAACAGACAGUGGGUUAGGGUAUGAAACAGACAGACGGGGUUAGGGUAUGAAACAGACAGUGGGUUAGGGUAGGAAACAGACAGACAGUGGGUUAGGGUAUGAAACAGACAGACAGUGGGUUAGGGUAUGAAACAGACAGUUUGUUAGGGUAUGAAACAGACAGACAGUGUGUUAGGGUAUGAAACAGACAGACAGCGGGUUAGGGUAUGAAACAGACAGACAGCGGGUUAGGGUAUGAACAGACAGACAGCGGGUUAGGGUAUGAAACAGAAAGACAGUGGGUUAGGGUAUGAAAGAGACAGACAGUGGGUUGGGGUAUGAAACAGACAGACAGUGGGUUAGGGUAUGAAACAGACAGACAGUGGGUUAGGGUAUGAAACAGACAGACAGUGGGUUAGGGUAUGAAACAGACAGUGGGUUAGGGCAUGAAACAGACAGACAGUGGGUUAGGGUAGGAAACAGACAGACAGUGUGUUAAGGUAGGAAACAGACAGUGCGUUAGGGUAGGAAACAGACAGUGGGUUAGGGUAUGAAACAGACAGUGGGUUAGGGUAUGAAACAGACAGACAGUGGGUUAGGGUAUGAAAGAGACAGACAGCGGGUUAGGGUAGGAAACAGACAGACAGCGGGUUAGGGUAGGAAACAGACAGACAGUGGGUUAGGGUAGGAAACAGACAGUGGGUUAGGGUAUGAAACAGACAGUGGGUUAGGGUAGGAAACAGACAGACAGUGGGUUAGGGUAGGAAACAGACAGACAGUGGGUUAGGGUAUGAAACAGACUGUGCGUUAGGGUAUGAAACAGACAGACAGCGGGUUAGGGUAUGAAACAGACAGUGGGUUAGGGUAGGAAACAAAGAGUGUGUUAGGGUAGGAAACAGAGAGACAGUGGGUUAGGGUAGGAAACAGAGAGACAGUGAGUUACGGUGUGAUACAGACAGACAGUGGGUUAGGGUAGGAAACAGACAGUGGGUUAGGGUAGGAAACAGACAGACAGUGGGUUAGGGUAUGAAACAGACAGACAGUGGGUUAGGGUAUGAAACAGACAGACAGUGGGUUAGGGUAUGAAACAGACAGACAGUGGGUUAGGGUAUGAAACAGACAGACAGUGGGUUAGGGUAUGAAACAGACAGACAGUGGGUUAGGGUAUGAAACAGACAGUGGGUUAGGGUAUGAAACAGACAGACAGCGGGUUAGGGUAUGAAACAGACAGACAGCGGGUUAGGGUAUGAAAGAGACAGACAGUGGGUUAGGGUAUGAAACAGACAGUGGGUUAGGGUAGAAAACAGACAGACAGUGGUUUAGGGUAGGAAACAGACAGACAGUGGGUUAGGGUAGGAAACAGACAGUGAGUUAGGGUAGGAACCAGACAGUGGGUUAGGGUAGGAAACAGACAGUGGGUUAGGGUAGGAAACAGACAGUGGGUUAGGGUAUAAAACAGACAG